rnacentral:rRNA from 1 species
GAUGAACGCUGGCGGCGUGCCUAAUACAUGCAAGUCGAGCGAACGGACGAGAAGCUUGCUUCUCUGAUGUUAGCGGCGGACGGGUAAGUAACACGUGGAUAACCUACCUAUAAGACUGGGAUAACUUCGGGAAACCGGAGCUAAUACCGGAUGAUAUUUUGAACCGCAUGGUUCAAAAGUGAAAGACGGUCUUGCUGUCACUUAUAGAUGGAUCCGCGCUGCAUUAGCUAGUUGGUAAGGUAACGGCUUACCAAGGCAACGAUGCAUAGCCGACCUGAGAGGGUGAUCGGCCACACUGGAACUGAGACACGGUCCAGACUCCUACGGGAGGCAGCAGUAGGGAAUCUUCCGCAAUGGGCGAAAGCCUGACGGAGCAACGCCGCGUGAGUGAUGAAGGUCUUCGGAUCGUAAAACUCUGUUAUUAGGGAAGAACAUAUGUGUAAGUAACUGUGCACAUCUUGACGGUACCUAAUCAGAAAGCCACGGCUAACUACGUG